AUUGAACGCUGGCGGCAUGCCUUACACAUGCAAGUCGAACGGUAACAGGUCUUCGGAUGCUGACGAGUGGCGCACGGGUGAGUAAUACAUCGGAACGUGCCCGAUCGUGGGGGAUAACGGAGCGAAAGCUUUGCUAAUACCGCAUACGAUCUACGGAUGAAAGCAGGGGACCGCAAGGCCUUGCGCGGACGGAGCGGCCGAUGGCAGAUUAGGUAGUUGGUGGGAUAAAAGCUUACCAAGCCGACGAUCUGUAGCUGGUCUGAGAGGACGACCAGCCACACUGGGACUGAGACACGGCCCAGACUCCUACGGGAGGCAGCAGUGGGGAAUUUUGGACAAUGGGCGAAAGCCUGAUCCAGCCAUGCCGCGUGCAGGAUGAAGGCCUUCGGGUUGUAAACUGCUUUUGUACGGAACGAAAAGACUCUUUCUAAUAAAGAGGGUCCAUGACGGUACCGUAAGAAUAAGCACCGGCUAACUACGUG
rnacentral:rRNA from 1 species